CUCUCGCGAUAUUUCGCCAACGCGAACACAACCGGUAGUAAAUAGUCGCCAUGGUACAUGGUUAGCUCGUAAGAGGGGAUAAAGUAUUGAAGUGAAUCGUGGAUGCUCCCCAAGUUGUUUAACGGAUUAAAAAAAAACCAUUUAAACAAACAAACAAACCCUUACUUGUUUAAACGCUGAAACAAACCACAGAGCCGCCGUGCUUGUUUGUUCAUUGAGGGUGCAGGAGUCGUGCAGCACGUUUAGGGGCCUGGACAGACGUCAAGCUAACGUGGCUAAGCUGACCGACGGUUUUUAGCAGCCAAAGGAGCGAAAGUCCGUCUCUACUAACCCUCCUUUUAAACGGAUAACCAGCAGUCCUCCAGAUAGCGUUAACUCUGGCCGUGUUGGGGAGGAAAGCUGUGCCGGGUCUAAGAUGAUCAUUGAAAACCUCGAUGCCUUGAAAACAUGGCUGUCUGAUACCCUCGAGCCUAUCUGUGAUGCAGACCCUUCUGCCCUUGCCAAGUAUGUUGUUGCUCUGGUGAAGAAAGACAAAAGUGAGAAGGAGCUCAAAGCCCUGUGUAUAGACCAGUUGGAUGUAUUUCUUCAGAAAGAGACCCAGCCAUUUGUGGAUAAGCUGUUCGAAGCCAUUAACAACAAAAGCUACCUCCCGCAGCCAGAGCAGCCGUCCUCUCUGGUCAAAAUUGAGAAAGAUGAGCAGAAAAAAGAGGAGACAAAUCGGGAGGAAGAGCGGGAGAAGAAGUUUUCUCGGCGAGUGAAUCACAGCCCUCCGCAAUCGAGCUCUCGCUACAGCCGAGAUGGCAGGAGAGGGGAAGACCGUAAGCGAGACGACCGACCCAGAAAGAGGGAGUACGACCGCAACCCACCAAGGAGGGACUCGUACCGCGAUCGCUACAAUCGCAGGAGAGGCCGCAGCCGCAGUUACAGUCGAAGCCGCAGCAGGAGCUGGAGCAAGGAUCGUGUCCGAGACCGCGACAGAGAGAGGGAUAGAGACAGGGACAGGGACAGAGAUAGGGACAGAGAUCGCAGCAGGAGCCGGUCACACAGCAGAACUCGGUCUAGAAGCAGGAGCAGAGAGCGAGAUUCUGGAAAGUUGAAGUAUGAUCACGAUCACAGGUCAGAAAGUGCCGAUGGCUACACACCAGCAGCCCUCGUCUCCACUGCAACCACAUCACACUUCCCUGUGCCAACACUGAGCAGCACCAUUACAGUCAUUGCCCCCACACAUCAUCAUAGUAACAACACCACUGAGAGCUGGUCAGACUUCCGCCCUGAACACCCUGUGGAUCGUGGCCCUUUUAUCAGAGGACCACCCCCUCAACAGAGGAAGCGGUGCAGGGACUAUGAUGAAAAGGGCUUCUGCAUGAGAGGUGACAUGUGUCCUUUCGACCAUGGAAGUGACCCAGUUGUAGUGGAAGAUGUCAAUUUGCCCAAUAUGCUGCCCUUCCAACCUCCACCAAUGCCAGGUGUGGACGGACCACCUCCCCCAGGCCUCCCACCACCACCACCUCUCAUGAAUCCCCCACCUGUGAACUUAAGGCCCCCCGUGCCUCCACCAGGCGCCCUCCCACCCAGCCUUCCACCUGUUGCAGGUCCGCCUCCUCCCCUUCCUCCGUUGCAACCGUCAGGCAUGGAUGCUCCUCCCAAUUCCAUCACCAGCUCAGUUCCCACCAUUGUCUCCUCGGGGAUGCGCUCCUCGAUUCCCCAGGCCUCAGUGCCACUCUUCACCUCCGGUAAAUGCUACAACUAUGACACAGACGUGUACAAUCCCGAAGCUCCCAGCAUCACCAGUACCUCCAGGCCGAUCUAUCGCCACCGGGUCAACGCCCAGAGACCCAACCUGAUUGGCCUGACAAUGGGGGAGGAUCAGCCGCCAAGAGACAAGAUUCCAAACAACAGUAUGAGGAUCGUUAUGGAGUCGGAUUCAAGGAAGAGACCACCUAUCUCCCAUGAUGGAGGCCUCCCUCCCAAGAAACCUUGGUUUGACAAACCCAACUUUAACAAACCCAACCACCAGGGCUACCACAAAAGACCCCCAUUCUCUCCCAACACCAAGCUGCUGGUUCGGCAAAUUCCCCCCGAGCUCAACAACAUCAGCAAACUCAACGAACAUUUCAGCAAGUUUGGCACCAUCGUCAACCUACAGGUUGCCUACCAGAAUGACCCAGAAGGUGCACUGAUCCAGUUUGCUUCUCCAGACGAGGCCAAGCGGGCUAUGCAAAGCACAGAGGCUGUGCUCAACAACCGCUUCAUCAGGGUGCAUUGGUUUCGUGAUGAUGGGAGUGAUGGACAGGGCCAGAGUCAGGCUCACUCACAGCAGCAGCCUCAGACACAGCCAGCCAUGCAGCCGUCAGCCACGUCUCUGAAGCAGUCUGUCAAAGACCGCCUGGGACCCAUGCUCACUGCAAACUCCGAGCCCUCGCAAGAUUCUGGCGUAGCCUCUCAGAAUCUUUCCAAAGUGUCAGUGAAGGACCGUUUAGGUUUCUCUGCCAAACCAGCAGCUCCUGUUGAAAAAGUGAGCGUGUUUUCCACAUCCAUGGGCCUCACAAAGACUGUGUACAACCCUGCUGCCCUGAAGGCAGCCCAGAAAACCUCAGAGGAAGCCCUGAAGAAGAAGCAGGAAGCUCUAAGGCUACAACAGGAUGUAAGGAAGAAGAAGCAGGAAAUACUGGAGAAGCACAUUGAGACACAGAAGCUCCUGAUAUCCAAACUAGAGAAGAACAAAGCAAUGAAGGCAGAAGAUAAAGCCAAAAUCAUGGAAACUCUGGGCAUGUUAACCAAGAGCAUCACCAAACUGCAAGAGGAGAUAAAGGGAAUUUCAAGCAGCAACAACCCAUUACGCACGGCCAAGAGCAAGGCGGAGGCACAGAAGGAACUACUGGAUGCAGAGCUGGACCUGUACAAGAAGACUCAGGCUGGCGAGGACACUGCUAUGUUGAAGAUCAAGUAUACCCAGCUUCAAAUUGAGGCAGCUAAAAGGGGACUCCUGUCCCCAGGACGAGGCCGGGGGAUCCACACACGGGGCCGCGGUGCACUCAGAGCCCGUGGAAGGGGCUCCAGAGGGCGAGGAAGAGGUGUGCCAAUGCAUGCAGUGGUGGAUCAUCGACCACGAGCGCUGGAGAUAUCUGGUUUCGGCGAGACAGACCGUGUAGACCUGUUGCCACACUUUGCUCAAUUUGGAGAGAUUGAAGAUUGCCAGAUUGACGAAAACAACCUGUCUGCAGUCAUCACUUACAAGUCGAGAGCAGAGGCAGAACAGGCGGCCCUUCAUGGAGUGAGGUUCAACAACCAGACUUUACGACUGGCCUGGCAUAAGGCUGUCAUGAUUCUUAAUACUGCGGAUGCUGAUGAGGCAGAACCAGAAGAGGAUGAGUACCCGGAAGAGUCGCUGAGUGACGAUGCAUUGCUGCAGGAUGAUGACGAAGAGGAAGAUGACAACGAGCCUCGCUCCUGGCGCAGAUGAAACUCAGUCACACGCUCUUGGAGCAACAAUCCAGCAGCUUUAUAAGAUUUCAAUGCCUGUUUGUAAAUCAACAAGGCACAUUUACUUUUUUUCCCUGUGUAAGAACCAUAUGCGAGUUUGAUUCAUUUUAAAAAAUUUAAAAGUGUUGAAUUUUUUUAAUGCUCUUAAAUGUAGAAAUCUUUUUUUUUUUUUUUGGUUCACAAAACACAAAUAGUAUUUGUCUGGACAUUUGACAGCCGAUCACUUUUGUUGAACUGUCAGUUUAAGAAAACAAAACCUGUGUUGUAAUUUAACUGAAUGAUAGACUGUAGCUUUUUUGCAGAAUAGUAUUAGGUUGACUGGUUUAAAUGCUUGUGUAAAUAUUUUAUGUCUGGGUUUAAAUGAUUUGUAUGAACGCUUUGGCUUCUCAGUUCUUGGCUUUACUUUGGAUUGUACAAAAAAUAAAGAAUUGAAAUGGUCUGAAAACAUCCUGCCAAAAACAAAAAAAAGACAACAAAAAGAAAAAAUAAGAGAAAAAAGGAAAUAUGGCAGUGAAAAAAACUCAAAAGAGCUGAAAAAAGACCAUUUCAAAAAAACAAAAAAACUUCCUCUUCCCCUAAAGAGCAAAGUUCCUACAAAGUUCCUACUUCUAACACUUUUAUUAUUUUGUAUCCGCAAGGUAACGUAUAAGACUGAUUCCCAUGCCGAGGAGCCGUCUGUCCGCAGAGUCCCACAUCACCCUUUUCCUCCAAGAAGCUUCAGCACCUCAAAAUAAUCUUGUAUUUACUGUAACCAUCUUUAUUAGAUGCCAUGCAAAGUGUUUCUGUAUUAAAAUACACAUUUUGAAUCAUAA